CAAAGUAGUUACCUUCUCUGGACACCCCUGUAAAAGAGGAACACUAAGUAGCACCUACGUACCUUACUGAAAGGAUUAAAUGAGCAAAUGCAGAUGUUGACUGAGCCUCAGAGGGGUUACAAAAGCACCUAAGAUCCCGUUGUCAGUACAUGACGGAAAUGAGUUCAAAUCCAGCCUGCCUGACUUGUUCUUAAUCACUAAGACUUACAUCUCGGAUAAAGACUGAAGUUCAGAGACUUGGUGUUUAACAACUUGGAAUCCUUCCCUCUUGGUUGAUAAUUUGUAAAUGUUGGCUGAAUAAAUGAAUUAUACAGUUCUU